UACAGAGGUGGCAAGCGUUAAUCGGAAUUACUGGGCGUAAAGCGUGCGCAGGCGGUUGUGCAAGACAGAUGUGAAAUCCCCGGGCUCAACCUGGGAACUGCAUUUGUGACUGCACAGCUUGAGUGCGGCAGAGGGGGAUGGAAUUCCGCGUGUAGCAGUGAAAUGCGUAGAUAUGCGGAGGAACACCGAUGGCGAAGGCAAUCCCCUGGGCCUGCACUGACGCUCAUGCACGAAAGCGUGGGGAGCAAACAGG
rnacentral:rRNA from 1 species